rnacentral:lncRNA from 1 species
UGCCUCGCAUAAUGUUAAGCAGGCAUCGGACACUUGCUGGAAGGCAGGGAAUUGCAAUGAAAGAGCACGGAGGUGAGAAGCUGUGCUCCUUGGGGUGAAGGCAGCUUCUGUGCUCCUGGGAUCUACUGUUAAGCCAGGGUGACGCCAGCUUGCAUGCUACCGGAGGGGUGAGUCUUUGGCUCAGCAGAAUGGGCCUAGGUGGAGCUUGAAAUUAAUGAAGAGAUGCUGCUUCCAGCUUUUUGAGCAAGAAGAAGUUUGGCCUCCAGUUAUUACACCUUGAGGUCAGCGGGUAUCUCAAGUCUGAGUAGUUAUAAAAGUGAGCUGAUGUAGAAACACCACCAAAGCAACGUUUUAUCUAAAUAUUUCAGAUCCCCCAUUAUAAAUCAUUUAUUAUGAUUACCCUUUUGGUGUCAUGGAAUGAGAUGAUGAGCUUUUCUUAAUGAAGUAUUUCAUAGACAUAUUUUUUCCAUUUAUCUUGGUGUUGGAUGCUAUGUGACCUGAAUGGCAAAUGAGGAAAUAUUUGUGCAACUCCUGAAAUGCACACAUCUCCCCAUGCCAGAGUGCAGGAGCGGACAGGGCUUUCCCUGGCAGCAAUAGGAGCCCGGUCCUGAGUAGGGCCUCUCCAGCCUGACUGCACCAUAGCAGGUGACAUCUGACUUGGGGUGUGCCAUGUUCCCAGAGCUGCUUUUUUAAGGAGUUUGGUGGGAGCUGGAGGAAGCAUCCACAUCUUUAAAAACAAACCUUAACUCGUGAGAAGAAAAGUGGUAAACAUUCAAACACAAUUUGUCAACCUUCAGGCCUCCACUUAAGCGAGUUCUGACGUCAGUGAAUACUUCUGCAGCAUGGAAGUGCCAGGACCCUCGUUGGCCCCUGAUGGCCAAAUAGCCUCACUCUCCAUUAGAAGAGAAAGCCUCACUCUCCAUUAGAAGGCCAGGAGAGCGAAAUCAGGGAUUGCUUU